rnacentral:rRNA from 1 species
GGCUUAACACAUGCAAGUCGAGGGGCAACAGGAGUAGCAAUACUUGCUGGCGACCGGCGCAAGGGUGCGUAACGCGUGAGCAACAUGCCUACUACAGGGGGAUAAUCCAGGGAAACUUGGUCUAAUACCCCAUAAUGUUGAUUUGUGGCAUCACAAAUCAAUUAAAAUUCCGAUGGUAGUAGAUUGGCUCGCGUGACAUUAGCUAGAUGGAGAGGUAACGGCUCACCAUGGCGACGAUGUCUAGGGGUUCUGAGAGGAAGGUCCCCCACACUGGUACUGAGACACGGACCAGACUCCUACGGGAGGCAGCAGUGAGGAAUAUUGGACAAUGGAUGGAAAUCUGAUCCAGCCAUGCCGCGUGCAGGAAGACGGCCCUAUGGGUUGUAAACUGC